CGAAUUCGCCCUUGUGCCAAGCAGCCGCGGUAAUUCCAGCUCCAAUAGCGUAUAUUAAAGUUGUUGCGGUAAAAAAGCUCGUAGUUGGGUUUCUUCUGAGAAUGAGCGGUCUACACCAUGUGUACGCAUCUGCUUCAGUCUCGGAAUCCUCGCAGAAUACGUCUCUGCGCUUGAUUGCGUGGAACGGACUCUGUGACUUUUACUUUGAGGAAAUUAGAGUGUUCACGGCAGGCUAUCGCCAGAAUACAUUAGCAUGGAAUAAUAAUAUAGGAUCUUGAUUCUAUUUUGUUGGUUUCUAGAAUUGAGAUAAUGAUUAAUAGGGACAAUUGGGGGCAUUCGUAUCAACACGUCAGAGGUGGAAUUCUUGGAUUGUGUUGCGACGAACUACUGCGAAAGCAUUUGCCAAGGAUGUUUUCAUUGAUCAAGAACGAAAGUAAGGGGAUCGAAGACGAUUAGAUACCGUCGUAGUCUUUACCAUAAACUAUGCCAACUAGAGAUGGGUGAUCGUUCACUUACGACUUCAUCUGCACCUUAUGAGAUAUCAAAGUUUUUGGGUUCCGGGGGGAGUAUGGUCGCAAGUCUGAAACUUAAAGGAAUUGACGGAAGGGCACCACCAGGAGUGGAGCCUGCGGCUUAAUUUGACUCAACACGGGGAAACUCACCAGGUCCAGACAUAAUAAGGAUUGACAGAUUGAUAGCUCUUUCUUGAUUUUAUGGGUGGUGGUGCAUGGCCGUUCUUAGUUCGUGGAGUGAUUUGUCUGCUUAAUUGCGUUAACGAACGAGACCUUAACCUGCUAAAUAGAAGCGCAUAUCCUCGGAUAAGCGCCUUUCUUCUUAGAGGGACUUUAUGCGUUUCACGCAUGAGGAAGUUUGAGGCUAAAACAGGUCUGUGA
rnacentral:rRNA from 1 species